rnacentral:rRNA from 1 species
GAUGAACGCUAGCGGCAGGCCUAAUACAUGCAAGUCGGACGGGAUCUAUCGGAGAGCUUGCUCGAAGAUAGUGAGAGUGGCGCACGGGUGCGUAACGCGUGAGCAACCUACCCAUAUCAGGGGGAUAGCCCGGAGAAAUCCGGAUUAAGACCGCAUAACACUGUGAUUUGGCAUCAUGUUACAGUUAAAUAUUUAUAGGAUAUGGAUGGGCUCGCGUGACAUUAGCUAGUUGGUGAGGUAACGGCUCACCAAGGCGACGAUGUCUAGGGGCGCUGAGAGGAGAAUCCCCCACACUGGUAUUGAGACACGGACCAGACUCCUACGGGAGGCAGCAGUAAGGAAUAUUGGUCAAUGGGCGGAAGCCUGAACCAGCCAUGCCGCGUGCAGGACGACUGCCCUAUGGGUUGUAAACUGCUUUUGUCGAGGAAUAAACCUAUCUACGUGUAGAUAGCUGAACGUACUCGAAGAAUAAGGAUCGGCUAACUCCGUGCCAGCAGCCGCAGUAA